rnacentral:miRNA from 12 species
AGGAGGGAGGAGAGGGGCCAAG